rnacentral:tRNA from 1 species
AUAAAGAGUGGCCGAGUGGCUUAAGGCGUACGCUUGGAAAGCGUAUGUAUAGCAAUGUAUCGGGCAUUCGAAUCCCUUCUCUUCUG